AUUGAACGCUGGCGGCAGGCUUAACACAUGCAAGUCGAGCGAGCGGCGGAAGGGUGAGUAAUGACUGGGAAAAUGCCUGAUGGAGGGGGAUAACUACUGGAAACGGUAGCUACUACCGCAUACCAUCAGAUGUGCCCAGAUGGGAUUAGCUAGGAGGUGGGGUAAUGGAUCACCUAGGCGACGAUCCCUAGCUGGGCUGAGAGGAGGACCAGCCACACUGGAACUGAGACACGGUCCAGACUCCUACGGGAGGCAGCAGUGGGGAAUAUUGCACAAUGGGCGAAAGCCUGAUGCAGCCAUGCCGCGUGUAUGAAGAAGGCCUUCGGGUUGUAAAGUACUUUCAGCGGGGAGGCGUUACCCGCAGAAGAAGCACCGGCUAACUCCGUGCCAGCAGCCGCGGUAAUAC
rnacentral:rRNA from 1 species